rnacentral:rRNA from 1 species
AUUGAACGCUGGCGGCAGGCCUAACACAUGCAAGUCGAACGAGUGGCGGACGGGUGAGUAAUGUCUGGGAAACUGCCCGAUGGAGGGGGAUAACUACUGGAAACGGUAUCUAAUACCGCAUACCAUCGGAUGUGCCCAGAUGGGAUUAGCUAGUAGGUGGGGUAAAGGCUCACCUAGGCGACGAUCCCUAGCUGGUCUGAGAGGAUGACCAGCCACACUGGAAUGGAGAAACGGUACAGACUCCUACGGGAGGCAGAAGUGGGGAAUAUUGAAAAAUGGGCGCAAGCCUGAGGCAGCCAUGCCGCGUGUAUGAAGAAGGCCGUCGGGUUGUAAAGUACUUUCAGCGGGGAGGCGUUACCCGCAGAAGAAGCACCGGAUAACUACGUGCCAGCAGCCGCGGUAAGAC